GCUUGAAUGAUGACUUAACUUUCUUUUGUCGGAUACCCCUUCACUCAUCAAUGAGUGAGAUCCUCUCUCUGACAAUGC